GCGGAGGAAAAGAAACCAACAGGGAUUGCCCCAGUAACGGCGAGUGAAGCGGCAACAGCUCAAAUUUGAAAUCUGGUCCCCCCGCGGGGCCCGAGUUGUAAUUUGAAGAGGAUGCUUCUGGCAAGGUGCCGUCCGAGUUCCCUGGAACGGGACGCCGCAGAGGGUGAGAGCCCCGUACGGUCGGACGCCGAGCCUCUGUGAAGCUCCUUCGACGAGUCGAGUAGUUUGGGAAUGCUGCUCAAAAUGGGAGGUAAACCCCUUCUAAAGCUAAAUACCGGCCAGAGACCGAUAGCGCACAAGUAGAGUGAUCGAAAGAUGAAAAGCACUUUGAAAAGAGAGUUAAAAAGCACGUGAAAUUGUUGAAAGGGAAGCGCUUGCGACCAGACUCGCGCCCGUCGGAUCAGCCGUCGCUCGUCGGCGGCGCACUCCGGCGGGCUCGGGCCAGCAUCAGUUCGCCUCGGGGGGAGAAAGGCGGCGGGAAUGUGGCUCUACGGAGUGUUAUAGCCCGCCGCGUAAUACCCCCGGGCGGACU
rnacentral:rRNA from 1 species